AUUUAGAAAGAUACUGAAGAGACUAACUCAAAAAAAAAAAAAAUUCCCAAAGUCACGGAUCUGCAAAUUUUGAGUGUACAACCGAGAGAAAACAAGCUUAAGCUGCCGGUCUAAUGGUCCCAGAAGGCAAAAUAAACGGUAAAUGUCUCGGCCGCUGCAAAUCAUGAAGGGGUAUACAGAUCAAUGAUAGAGCCGAGGGAAAAGAAGUAAACGCACAAGCUCAUCGAACAAAAACAGCCAAGGCCUCAAGACCCAGAUCGAUGCAUCUGGGAGGUAAAAUUCGAAUCCCUGCAAGUUGAAUUGUUGUAGAUCUAGUAAUAAUUGCUGUACUCAGUUCUGUGGUGUAUGGAUCUGUGAUUUAACUGUGUUUCCCCAUGCAUUGCAAAACUGAGCUGCAGAAAUUUAACUGCUCAAAAUUAUGUCUAUGUGCUGGAUCUGCAACAAUCACCCCCAAACUUGCAUCUGU